rnacentral:rRNA from 1 species
UACGGAGGAUGCAAGCGUUAUCCGGAAUGAUUGGGCGUAAAGCGUCCGCAGGUGGCACUUCAAGUCUGAUGUUAAAUACUAGGGCUUAACUCUGGAGCGGCAGUGGAAACUGAUGAGCUAGAGUUCAGUAGGGGUAGAGGGAAUUCCUAGUGUAGCGGUGAAAUGCGUAGAGAUUGGGAAGAACACCAGUGGCGAAAGCGCUCUGCUAGGCCGAAACUGACACUCAUGGACGAAAGCUAGGGGAGCGAAUGGG